rnacentral:rRNA from 1 species
GAUGAACGCUGGAGGCGUGCCUAAUACAUGCAAGUCGAGCGAACGGACGAGAAGCUUGCUUCUCUGAUGUUAGCGGCGGACGGGUGAGUAACACGUGGAUAACCUACCUAUAAGACUGGGAUAACUUCGGGAAACCGGAGCUAAUACCGGAUGAUAUUUUGAACCGCAUGGUUCAAAAGUGAAAGACGGUCUUGCUGUCACUUAUAGAUGGAUCCGCGCUGCAUUAGCUAGUUGGUAAGGUAACGGCUUACCAAGGCAACGAUGCAUAGCCGACCUGAGAGGGUGAUCGGCCACACUGGAACUGAGACACGGUCCAGACUCCUACGGGAGGCAGCAGUAGGGAAUCUUCCGCAAUGGGCGAAAGCCUGACGGAGCAACGCCGCGUGAGUGAUGAAGGUCUUCGGAUCGUAAAACUCUGUUAUUAGGGAAGAACAUAUGUGUAAGUAACUGUGCACAUCUUGACGGUACCUAAUCAGAAAGCCACGGCUAACUACGUG